AGGAAGGAAUUGAACCACAUGUUAUUUCUUUGUCAUCAACGUCAUCCCACCAUUGUAGAGAUUUUGUUGGAUGACAUGCGGCCCAUACUCUCGCCCCUUGUCCUCCAUCUCUGUUGGUACCCUUUCAUGGUUUCUUGUCCACUUCUUUCAUGAUUUAUUCUUUUCAAAUAGUAAUUCAGGCUGUUAUACUAAUUUGAUUGAUGUGGGUGGUGUAAUAAUUCAGGUCGUGCAGGAUGGUCUGCUAAUUUCCCUGAUGCUUCAUCAGGUUUCGCUUUUUGAUACAUUGAUUGAUUCCCAAUUUGAUGCAAAUAACCAAAAUGAAUGAAUUGAUGUGGCUGUUAUAAUAAAUUUUCCUUAUUUUGUGUGUGAUUAUGCUCAGGUUUUGGAAGCAUCGGGCUAAGGGGUGAUUAUGCUCAGGUUUUGAUGCAGUGAGAUUCAGAUAAUUUUAAGAAACACACGUAAAGGAGUCCAAACAGGACGGGCUCGGUGUACAUGGUUUUCAGUUAAUGCAGUUUAGGUCUGACCAGCACAAGUGGCAACAGGCAGUAGUGGAGAAGGCAUGAAGAGGCCCACAUAUGAAAAUCUCAACUAUUCUAGGAUUUUCGAGCUGCUGACCAUGUGAUUGGUAGCCGACGAUUUCUUCAUGGGUUGCUGAUUUCUCAAGUUUUGCCUCACACAAAAGAGGGCUAGCAACACCUUUGACAGAAACAGCCAACAUUCAGUGCAGAUCCGGUAUAUUCUGGUUGUCUUCCAUUUAGUUGACGGCAUGCAAGACUGAUCUGAUGCAUCUACUGCUUGUUGACUUGGUUAUAUUUAUCUAUAAAGUGGCAGUGGUGCAGAAUAUAUCCUCUGCCAUGGAAGGAGGUAUUUGAUGCUGUCAGAUGGCAUAUAGGUCAAUAAUGAGGUGACUGCCGGGGUAAUCUCAGGAAGGGACAACAACACAAAUUAACUUUGUUGACAAGCUCACGAUCACGGGGAACAAGCCGUCCUGCAGUGUUUCCAUGUACUGCAAGUUGACGACAUGCUAUUACCCGCCAUUGUGUGUGUUUUGCAUAUUUUCCUAUUCAAUACUAUGAAGUUUUCCUCUGUUAUGCUCUUCUCAGGCAUGAAGGCCGACACUGAUUAUCAAGUGGUGCUUUAGAAAGUGCAAGUAUGUGUCACAAUAAUGCCUGGAAAUCAGCCAGUGGCUGGAUUAUUUGAGCUAUUUUGGCGUCUCUGCCAUCCUAUAGUUGUUCAGUUUUCUCUUUUGAAACGAGGCUAUCUAGAGGAUUUCAUGUUGUGGUUUAGGAAGUCCCAUGUGCAUACUUUUUGCAGGCAUCAGUGAAGAUUGGGAGGUAGAGAGGGAUUGCUCAAGUGGAAACAGAUCAAGAACCAGAAGGAGCUCAAGAUUUCGCUACUUCCUUGGUAAUAGCUUUGUGAGAUCAGUUAAAUAUUAUCCAGGACCAUGCACCCGCCCUUGACAAUGGCUUCCAGAAGCUAAGGUUGCAGGGGUGAAUUAAAGUUUGAUUUUCCAGCAGCGAGGUAACUACUACCGAUGGAGAUCAAACUAAUGAGCUCACGAAAAAAAACUAUAGACAUCAAACACCGAAGGAGGUUAGUUUUUACCUGAGUGGAAACAGCGGUCGUAUCGUCUUGCUGGAGCCUCCUUUGUCAUGGAAAGUCACCAGCUUCAGGGAGUGCCAGCACAGCCGGAACAGACGCGGGGAGUGACAGUGGCAACUGCGUAGAUUUGGCUCACCCAUACGAGAAACGGUGGCGCCAUCUACCGAUUUCGUGGCUCCGAGCUGCAGUGGGAGCUGCUGGGCCGUAGGGAUGCAGAUGGAGCCGCUGCAACUCCGAGCUGCCGGGCCGCCGAGAUGCAGAUGGAGCCGCAGCGCCUCCGAGCUGCAGCGGGAGCUGCUCCACCGCCAAGUUGCAGUGUGAGCCGCCGCGAAGAUGGAACCCAAGGUGCCCUCGUCCGCCUCCUCCAGCUGCUUCCUCACUUCACUUCAGUACGAGUACAGGGGGAGAGGAAUGGGACGAAGACUGGUGGAUGGAAUCAAGACCAGCGGUCAUGCGAGACACGUGGUAGGCAUUGUGCUACGUGGUGGCAGCUCGUGAAGCAACAAUUGACGUGUGUUGUUGUCUCUCAGCACGUGUACGUGGUAGGCAUUGUGCUACGUGGUGGCAGCUCGUGAAGCAACAAUUGACGUGUGUUGUUGUCUCUCAGCACGUGUAUCUUGAGGGCAUGAUUGUAGUUUUCUAUCUUUGAGGUAUGUGAUGUUACUCAAACUGCCAGCCUUUUGGUUUCUGAUUUUAAUGAAAGCAGGGAGGCCCUCCUUAGGGCGCUUGAGUUUGUAAAAAAAAGACUAGCAGUCAACCACGGGGAAGAAGAUUAGGACAGAA